rnacentral:lncRNA from 10 species
UUUACUGGUGUUCCAGCCCUAAGGCUCAUAUGACAUUAACAGACAAGACACUUUUCAGAAAGACAGGCAACGUGUUGGACCUUCCGGAGCUUCUCAGAAGACAGAGGGUUUUCUUUUGAGGCUGUUGUACAGUGGCCUGAUUAUAGCUCACUGUAGCCUCGAAAUUCUGGGCCGAAAUGAUCCGCCUGCCUCAGCCUCCAAAGUAGCUGAGACUACAGACAAAUCAACUCAAUCAAAGAAACCAACUCAAAGAAAGAUGGGUCUACAUACAACAAAACUGAACAAAAUCUGCAAGAAGAGUGAUUCAUACAUGGGCUAUUGAGGCAACAUGAGAUGGACAUUAAUCGACUAAGUAAAAAACAGAUUUCUUGAAGAAUUAAUAAAGAACUUUUGUUUUGGAA